GCAUCAAAGCCCCUGGGAGUUUUGAUUUUUUUCGAACCGCAUGCAAAGCAGUUUCAGAGGAUGGCAACCUACAUCGGGAAAAGUAUCAGAAUAACCACAAACGACGGUAUUUACCGUGGAAUUGUGCACUCCUUGGACGUCAGCUGUAGCAAGAUCACGUUAAAGAAAGUUGAGUGCAGUGUUGGAGAGGAGAAGAAGCAGUUGAAAGGUCUGCACCACUUCUAUGGACCUGAGCUGGAGCACUUGGAGAUUCUGGAGGACCAGCUGGAGGAAAAGAUGGACAAAAAUGACACUGAAGAUGGUGGUCCGCCCCUGGUCACCAAAAAGGAGAACCCCAAACACCUACAGCAGCUGAGAGACUACAGCAGUGCAGGAGACCUGGCAGGGGGAGGGGGGUACGUGUCAGACGGGAUUGUGGACAUGCUGAAGUCUAACCUGAGGAGAAAAGACAACAGGAAAAGGCAGGACAGCGCCAAGGGGAAGAAAUCUGUCAGAUUUUGCCAUGACAUCAAUGACCGCUCUGGCAGUGGCAGAAAUGAGAAAUACACGGUGGUGGACUCACUACAGGGAGACUCCUACACCAAGGCUGUUGACCACAUCAGACAGCAGUCUAUCAUGGGACUGGCCAUGCAGGGCAUCAACAUUGGCAGGAAGGGCAAGAUAUGCUGGGUCCAGGUGGCAACAAGGAACAGCAUCUUCUUGUUUGACGUACUGACAUUAGGAGCCCCAUGUUUCGAUGCAGGCUUGGGACAGGUUCUUCAGGAUGAAAACAUUCUCAAGGUAAUGCAUGACUGCCGUAACCCGUCCGAUGCCCUGUGGCACCAGUAUGGACUUCAUAUUGUCAACGUCUUCGACACACAGGUUGCUGAUGUGAUGGUGUCGCGGAUGGACCAUCGCGGGGAGUUUCCCCGUUACGUGAGAGGGCUGAUGGUGUGUCUUGUUGAACACCUGGACAUCAACCAGGAGAACUUACACUUUCUCAGGGUCCGGCUGGAUCAUAAGGAGGAAGAUGAAGCCAUCUGGGCAGAGCGCCCCCUGCCAGAACACCUGCUCAUUGCAGCAGCCAAGAAUGUGAUGUACCUGCGGGAGUUGCGUGUUGCUCUGAUGGACAAGCUCAUGUCAGAGUUCGUCAUGGGGGUGGACGUGUACCUGUCCGUCAGGAGGGACUCCAGUGACAAGGACGCUCUCAAGAUGGAUACCAUGGGCCACCUGCUGCCCGGGCGGUUCAGGGAGGUUGUGGAACAGGCGGCCAGGAAGAGACGGGAGCAGGCAGAGCCCGUGGACCAGAACGGCUUCCGGGAGAACUGCGACGGCGCCGUGGACGGGACUGGGCGCUGGAGCAGGGACAUAGGGCAUGAUGGGACAAGGCUCUCCAAGGGGACCAGCGGUAAUGCUGUUCCACCUUCACACACAACCAAGGGUAGGUCCCUGUACUAUAAUAAUUACCUUGUAACGAUGAUAAGACUUGUCUUAGUUUUGAUUUUAGAGGCAUGGCCUUAUUUCACUCCUAUGUCCUGUGCCCUGCAUGAAUGAAAUUAAAGAAUGUUCACACCACAAGAAUAAUCAAUAAGCGAUAAAUUCUAAACCUUUCUUUAGGGAAUUGGCCUACCAUAUUUUUGCCAGAACCAGUGCCUGCUGUGAAGGAAAACAGGAGCACACACGUGUCCGAACACAAGCCUGCUAUCCCAGCAGAAGACCAGCUUUGUAACGAUGCUACACCAAAGUCAACCACCAUUACAUGGUCUCGCCCAGAGGAGGACAGAGCAGACCCACAACAGCAGUAUCUGAUGACGUCCCCACAGAAAAUCCCAACUCUGACACCAGCAGGGCUGGAGUCAACCAGACAGUUAAACAGGCUCCCCAAGAAACUUCUCCAGUCUCAGACGCAGAAUGGUAAGACAGCCGAAGACAGCUCCAUAAGUGCUAUUGACACUUCUCUCUCUACUGAGGAGGACAUGCCAGAUUUAUGGUCCAUUCCUCCAUCAAGAGGCAGCCCCACAAAAGGGAAGUGCUGGAUGCCACUCACUGUGGAGUUACCAACUGGUACAGAGUGUUCCUCACAGCUGAGUGAUGGUGCAAAAACUGACAGUCCUUAUGCUAGCUCCAAGGUGACCAAUAUGAAGGGAGAAGUAGAAAGUAGCCAGGAAUCAACACCGCCAAAGCAGCCCUUUUUCUGCAUGCCAAAAGUGGUGACCUCAAGCACAGAGGCAGCUAACACUAGUGCAGAAAGAGUCAGUGACACAGCAUCACCACAGCAUGCCUUCAAGAAGAUUACCGAGUUUUGCUUGUCAGAAAACUCAGCAGAUCCGAGAGCCCACCCUCUGAGAGUCUCAGGAGGGAGGCUGGUGAAGAACCCCAACUACCUCCAUGGCUGGGACCACGGACCUGCCAUUGAGAACAAGGGGAUGGCUUCAGGUCCGGACGUGGUGCAGUACUCCUCACACAGCAGUGAUGACGACCUGCCACGAUCCUCCUCCUCCAACUCACAACCCCCAUCCAGCCACAGUUCUGUCACAAGUUCUCCCACUAAGAAUGGUGAUGCUCACAAGAUGCGGGGUGUGCAGUCCAGCUCCCCUUCCUUCCACCUAGGCAGAGGUGCGCUGCGUAUGAACGCUCUGAAAAACCUACGCAGUUCACCUGUCCAAGACAAUAAGUCUGCUGUGCCAAAGCUUGCAACAGACAAGAACAAUGGAGCAGUCAAUCCAACAACUAAACCUUCCCCCAAAACUGUCACUUCUGUAAGCAUGGCUGGGGUUGGUCCACCAUCCACCUCAAAACAGGAUGAUUGGAAGCCCGGCAUUGGUCGAUCCAAACCGCUGACAUUGCUCACAGAGAUGGACUCUGAGUUUGUCAUGCCCAAGAAGCUACAAGACGAAAAACAGGACAUGUUCAACGGUUUGAGAUCAAACGUAACCAAGUAUGCUUUUCCAAAAGACUCCGAGUUCAGGAAUGUUCCCAAGCAGGAGCGUGGCUUUCUCAGGAACUGGUGAAGAAGUCACCAGGGACUUACUAUAUGUUGUAAGCCUUCUCUAUUGUAGGUUCUACUAGACCUCCGCAUUGAGGUGAAAAAGUUGUUGAAAUCGGCUACAAGUUAGGGAUGAUUGGUCAAGUGAAUUGUAGUCAUGCCUUCAAAUACAGGAGUUAUCAACCAAGGAUUGGGGUAUUCGAAAACUUGUAUCCUGGAACUAACGUAGAGUGGUGUUUGCUGCCACCAAGUACAGUUGGGGCAUCAUCCCUAGAUACAUGUAGCUUAAGGUGUGCAGAGGUUGGGUGUAACAGGUCAUCCUGUGUAAUGUAGCCAGCUGCCACCGUGCCACAUGCCUGAAGCUGGUGUGUAACGCCGAAAAGCGGUUAUACCAACUAUACAGCUACAGAUACAAAUAUCAUUGAUGUUUCUGGUUAGACAUAAUAAUCCCUAUGCCGAUUAUCCCUAUGACGGUUUCUACAACUUUUCCAAAUAGACAGGGAAGUGUGGUAGAGACUAUAAUCCUUUUGUUAUGGUUUGUUUGAACCUUUAUCUGUUCAUGUUUUUUUUUGUAUCGCCUAACCACUAAUCCACAGGUUUUGUAGAUUAGUACUAAAUGUGUAACAUCAGCAUAGACACUUAUUGAUAUAUGUAGGU